CCUACGGGUGGCAGCAGUGGGGAAUAUUGCACAAUGGGGGAAACCCUGAUGCAGCAACGCCGCGUGAGUGAUGACGGCUUUCGGUAUGUAAAGCUCUGUCUUCAGGGACGAUAAUGACGGUACCUGAGGAGGAAGCCACGGCUAACUACGUGCCAGCAGCCGCGGUAAUACGUAGGUGGCGAGCGUUGUCCGGAUUUACUGGGUGUAAAGGGAGCGUAGACGGAAGUAUAAGUCUGAAGUGAAAUGCCCGGGCUUAACUCGAGUGCUGCAUUUGAAACUGGGAGGCUAGAGUGCAGGAGAGGUGAGUGGAAUUCCUAGUGUAGCGGUGAAAUGCGUAGAUAUUAGGAGGAACACCAGUGGCGAAGGCGAUUCACUGGACUGUAACUGACGCUGAGGCUCGAAAGCGUGGGGAGCAAACAGGAUUAGAUACCCCAGUAGUC
rnacentral:rRNA from 1 species